GAUUUAAUCAAUAUACUCAAUAAGCUAUUGUGUAAGUGUCAUCCUAACAAAUACUACAACAAUACAAGUUGUAAUGAUGACUUUGGUUAGGAUUGUUUUUAUCGCGGUCGUUCUUACUUUGAUAACUUCCAAUGCGGUUGGAUUCACUAGUACACCAAAGACGUCGGGUCCUAAUCAAUGUCAUGAUAAUGCUGAUUGCUCAAUAAAGUUACCUUAUUGUAAGGGAAUAGCCUUUUGUCGUAAUGGAGUUUGCGCGUGUUACGAAGAGAAAGCAAGCAUAACACAACAAUGUCAAAAUGAUAAAGAUUGCAUUCAUUUAAUUUGUGCUCCGCCAUGUGAAGUUUCCUAUUGUGACACAAAAACUUCCAAAUGCAAAUGCAAGUGUAAGAACUAGCGAGAUGCUAGAGAUUUGAUCACUAAACAUGUAGUGGAUAAUGAUUUUUAAUAAUAAGAAAAAAUGAAUAACUUCAAAAA